AUCCCUUCUUGGCCUUUUGGAUAAGAUCAAGUAUACUAUCUGUCCUUAUCAGUUUAAUAUCUGAUAUGUUCCCAUCCCACCUGAUCUCACAGAGAGGGCAUGCUUCGGAUCCCCGCGGUAAAAGAACUUCGAUUAGUGGGGUCCAGAAGGCGGGCCUUCUCUGCUGUGGCCCCCGCCCUUUGGAACAUCU